GCCCAGGUGGUGGAACUGGUAGACACGCUAGCUUGAGGGGCUAGUGGGAGCAAUCUCGUGCAAGUUCAAGUCUUGUCCUGGGCA
rnacentral:tRNA from 1 species